GGGGGCAGGCACGCAAAUUACCCAAUCCCGGCACGGGGAGGUAGUGACGAAAAAUACGGAUACGGGACUCAUCAGAGGCUCCGUAAUUCGAAUGAGUACAAUUCAAAUCCUUUAACGAGGAUCCACUGGAGGGCAAGUCUGGUGCCAGCAGCCGCGGUAACUCCAGCUCCAGAAGCGUAUAUUAAAGUUGUUGCAGUUAAAAAGCUCGUAGUUGGAUCUGGGUCGCAUGGCUACAUGCCGUUGCUUGUAUUCCUGGCUUGGUUACGACUGGGUCGGGUUUGCGAGUCGGKGUCGUGGUUGUGCASCCUUUCUGCCGUGUCUGUUUCGACAGGUGCUGACUGAAUCGGUGGGCUUGUCUCGCUGGUUUGUUGGCAUGCUUCCGGAUGCCUUUAAACGGGUGUCGGGGGCGGACGGCACGUUUACUUUGAACAAAUUUGAGUGCUCAAAGCAGGCCUGUGUGCCUGAAAAUUCUUGCAUGGAAUAAUGGAAUAGGACUUCGGUUCUAUUUUGUUGGUUUUCGGAUCCGAAGUAAUGGUUAAGAGGGACAGACGGGGGCAUUUGUAUGGCGGUGUUAGAGGUGAAAUUCUUGGAUCGCCGCCAGACAAACUACAGCGAAAGCAUUUGCCAAGGAUGUUUUCAUUGAUCUGGAGCGAAAGUCAGAGGUUCGAAGACGAUCAGAUACCGUCCUAGUUCUGACCAUAAACGAUGCCAACUGACGAUCCGUGGUGGCUCUUUUUUUGUCCCCGCGGGCAGUCCCCGGGAAACCUUUAAGUCUUUGGGCUCCGGGGGAAGUAUGGUUGCAAAGCUGAAACUUAAAGGAAUUGACGGAAGGGCACCACCAGGAGUGGAGCCUGCGGCUUAAUUCGACUCAACACGGGAAAACUCACCCGGCCCGGACACUGUGAGGAUUGACAGAUUGAUAGCUCUUUCUUGAUUCGGUGGUUGGUGGUGCAUGGCCGUUCUUAGUUGGUGGAGCGAUUUGUCUGGUUAAUACCGAUAACGAACGAGACUUUGGCCUGCUAAAUAGUAUGCCUGUCCUCUGUGCUCGUGCGGGUGGCGGUGCUCUUUGCCUCUUCGGGGGUAUUGGUGUCGUUCACCGGCGGGUGCUGCGCAGGUGUCUACUUCUUAGAGGGACAAGCGGCGCGACAGUCGCACGAAAAUGAGCAAUAACAGGUCUGUGAUGCCCUUAGAUGUCCGGGGCCGCACGUGCGCUACAAUGACGGUUUCAGCGAGUUUGGAAUCCUGGCCCGAAAGGGUUGGGCAAACUGAAUCAUAACCGUCGUGACUGGGACCGGGGUUUGCAAUUUUCCCCCUUGGACGAGGACUUCCUGCUAAGCACAAAUCAUGAGCUCG
rnacentral:rRNA from 1 species